CCAUGUGGUUUAAGUGGCCUGGUGGCCUGCAUAGACACUAGAUCCAUAUGCUACUACCUGGUUGUCAGGGAGGUGUGGGUGUGAGGUUGGUUGUCACGGGAGGUGCGGUGUGAUGCUGGUUUUCCGGGGUGUUGCGGGUGUGAGGCUGGUUGUCAGGGGAGGUGCGGGUGUGAGGCUAGUUGUCAGGAGAGGUGCGGUGUGAGGCAAGUUGUCAGGGGAGGUGCGGUGUGAGGCUGGUUAUCAGGAGAGGUGCGGUGUGAGGCUAGUUAUCAGGAGAGGUGUGGGUGUGAGGCUGGUUGUCAGGAGAGGUGCAGUGUGAGGCUAGUUGUCAGGAGAGGUGCGGUGUGAGACUAGUUGUCAGGAGAGGUGCGGUGUGAGACUAGUUGUCAGGAGAAGUGUAGAUGUGAGGCUGGUUGUCAGGAGAGGUGCGGU
ensembl:lncRNA